CCUUGGGAAGCUGGUGUUCCAGAAGGGCGUCCAGUUCCCCACUAGCCGAGCCAGCCCCGGGCUGCCUGCGGUGGCCAACCAAACACUGCCCUCCAGGAGACAGGGUGGAAAGCCAGGGCCAGGGUGCCUGCCUGCUCUUCCAGCAACAACAGGGCACUGUGAAGGGCAGAGGCCCCGGGGAGGAGCGAAGGAGGGCCAGCCAAGCUGGCAGCGGACAAGGUGGGAAAAGCGGAGGCGCCAUGAAGCCACCGGAACGGCAUUUUUCUCCUUCAACCCACAUCCCAGCCCUUGCAGCGCAGGGGGGAGGACUGAGCGGCCAGAGAGACAGCCCGCCUCCCAGCUCCGCUGGUUCUGCCCUGCACAGCAUCCCGGGUAAACGCAGAGACGUCUUGGUGACCAUUGCAAAUAGCAGGCAGUGACGUCAUUUGCUGCCACUGGAGAGGAAACGUGGAGCUCAGAGGGCUGGACGCGUUCAAAGAAAUUCUGCCCCAGCGACUGAAGAGCCAGCAGCCUGAGGUCAAAGAGAAGAGGCAGACGCAGCUCGCAGAGGCCGGAGCCCGCAUCCCUACCUGUGCGAGAGACCCCGUGAUUCCGUCUUCAGGAAUUUUGUGAACUGGUCGUUAAAUCCGGCAAUAAAAACAUUAAAUCACAUGCA
rnacentral:lncRNA from 1 species